AGAAUCAACGCUGGCGGCGUGCCUAACACAUGCAAGUCGAACGAGAAAGUGGGAGCAAUCCCACGAGUAAAGUGGCGCACGGGUGAGUAACACGUGACUAACCUACCCUUGAGUGGGGGGAUAACCUAGGGAAACCUGGGCUAAUACCGCAUAAUACCUACGGGUCAAAGGAGCAAUUCGCUUAAGGAGGGGGUCGCGGCAGAUUAGUUAGUUGGCGGGGUAAUGGCCCACCAAGACAGUGAUCUGUAUCCGGCCUGAGAGGGCGCACGGACACACUGGAACUGAAACACGGUCCAGACUCCUACGGGAGGCAGCAGUGGGGAAUUUUGCGCAAUGGGGGAAACCCUGACGCAGCAACGCCGCGUGGAGGAUGAAGCCCCUUGGGGCGUAAACUCCUUUCGAUCGGGAAGAUAAUGACGGUACCGGAAGAAGAAGCCUGGCUAACUUCGCGCCAGCAGCCGC
rnacentral:rRNA from 1 species